GACGAACGCUGGCGGCGUGCUUAACACAUGCGAGUCGAACGCUGAAGACCUGGCUUUUGUUGGGUUGGAUGAGUGGCGAACGGGUGAGUAACACGUGAGUAACCUGCCCUCUUCUUUGGGAUAACGCCCGGAAACGGGUGCUAAUACUGGAUAUUCACUGGCCUUCGCAUGGGGGUUGGUGGAAAGGUUUGUUCUGGUGGGGGAUGGGCUCGCGGCCUAUCAGCUUGUUGGUGGGGUGAUGGCCUACCAAGGCUUUGACGGGCAGCCGGCCUGAGAGGGUGACCGGUCACAUUGGGACUGAGAUACGGCCCAGACUCCUACGGGAGGCAGCAGUGGGGAAUAUUGCACAAUGGGCGAAAGCCGGAUGCAGCGACGCCGCGUGAGGGAUGGAGGCCUUCGGGUUGGAAACCUCUUUCGCUCAUGGUCAAGCCGCAACUGUGGGUUGUGGUGGGGGUAGUGGGUAAAGAAGCGCCGGCUAACUACGUG
rnacentral:rRNA from 1 species